rnacentral:lncRNA from 1 species
AGCAUCUACACCGGCCAUUAUCGAGGGUGAUCGACCUGAGCCAGAGGAGACUCAGGCGAUUCCGGAGCAUAUCGAGGGCAUUAUCAUUGCGGAUCUCGAUGAGAUGGCCGGUAUCGAGGCUCUUGAUGAUGUACCUAUUGCCGAGCUCGAUGUACAGGGUGGCCGUAGACGUGGACGUGGCCGUGGCCGUGGCCGUGGCCGUGGCCGAGGACGUGGCCGAGG